GAUGAACGCUGGCGGCGUGCUUAACACAUGCAAGUCGAACGAAGCACUUUUGACAGAUUCUUCGGAUGAUGGAUUUAGUGACUGAGUGGCGGACGGGUGAGUAACGCGUGAGCAACCUGCCCUUGUGUGGGGGAUACCGUCUGGAAACGGACGUUAAUACCGCAUAACGUAGUGAGAUCGCAUGGUCUUAUUACCAAAGAUUUAUUGCGCAAGGAUGGGCUCGCGUUGGAUUAGAUAGUUGGUGAGGUAACGGCUCACCAAGUCUGCGAUCCAUAGCCGGACUGAGAGGUUGAACGGCCACAUUGGAAAUGAGAAACGGUCCAGACUCCUACGGGAGGCAGCAGUGGGGAAUAUUGGGCAAUGGGGGAAACCCUGACCCAGCGACGCCGCGUGAGGGAAGACGGUCUUCGGAUUGUAAACCUCUUUCAGCAGGGAAGAUAAUGACGGUACCUGCAGAAGAAGCCACGGGCUAACUACGUG
rnacentral:rRNA from 1 species